UGAACUUUGGAACCUUAUUCUGAACCCACUUUUAGCUCGAGGCCUUGAAAUUGUCUCUCUCAUUCUUUCUCCUCGAGUUUGGACUAUGACACGUCCGAGGGUGGAUGUAAAACCUUCAUUCAUUUGCAACAGUGUCGUAGAAUCUUCAGCUCAAGAGAGAGCUGUCUCGAUGACGUUGCCCUAAUGCACACCGGCCAUGCAGCCUGACGAUAUAUGUUCUCUCUUCAGCAUCGCCUUCUCCAGCAAACUCUCCUUGCAAGGCCAUGCAACGUGCCAAUGAUCUUCUUGGGAGACACUUCGACCUCGACUUCUCUCUCUCUCUCUCUCCUAACCCCGAAGAUUCCUACUCUUCUAUCAAGACGAUGAACCGGUAGAGUGAGAUGCUCAACACUGUGAGGAGUGGAUCAAGGAGCAUCAAAUUUCCUCACUGAAAUGCAUGUACAUGGAGUCUGAACUUUACCACCGGGAUGGCACACACAUCAGUCACCUUCUGAGUAGGUCAGGAAGGAAAUGCCUGCCAUCAAAUGAUGAAAACCCUAAUGUUUUGGUGUAUCUCCAAAGCGUUUGUGGCAGUAGCAAAUGAUCGACACUUGGCUAAAAAUAUACAGCAAGGUUUUUGAGGGUUAAACAAAGGAGAAGCACUCCUCCUUAUUUGCACCAUGCAACCUGGUUCUUAGCACACUGUGGUCUUCCUCCAUCUUUAAUGCAUACUAUCAUGAGCAAUCAGCCUUCAGUGUUUUGCAGAGUGAUUGCUAAUGAUGAUAUGCACGUCGACUGCAGAGCCCUCAAGCAUGCCGAGAACUCAUGGUGGCCAUCAGAAGGCUCCAUGGAGAGUUGGAACCCAGUAAUCUGCCCCGUUAUCGCUUUCGACAUCCAAGAAGAAGGAGACUGGAACGAGACAAAGUCCUCUACUCCUCAGGUCCUUCUUCGGUUCAACAUUGCCUUCCUGAUGGUAGGAACAAAAGCAGGGAAAGCAAUCACUCUUUUGGAAUCCAUCAUUUCUUCGUAUACAUGAUUUGAUUCUGUAAACGAUGAUUUGAGGUUAACUAAGCAAAGUAAGUACCUGGUCAGGUCGUCCUCUUUUCUUGCUGCCAUUUCCAUUUAGCAGCUGCCCAAGGAAGACACAAGCUUGGCAUUAAUGUCUUCCUUAAUAGCUUCAGAUAACAGAUUAUAUAGGCAGGUUAAGAUAACAAGAGUUUAUUUACAUGACCAGCUUCUUCUGCAAAUAUACGCCUCCUUUCUCCUUGUGCCUAGAAAACCAUGCUUCACCGAUCAGGCCGAACUCAGUGACAACAAUUCAGACAUACAAAAUCUUUGUCAUGUGAUGAAAGCCUACGUGACAAUAUUAGGUUUUGUGUAUCCAUCAAUAUCUUGCUAAAGAGAGAAAUGAUAUUAUAUCCUUUUAAGUGGUGUCAUGGUUACUGUAGAGAACGAAGUACAAUUUCCAUGGAGCAUUGCUAAGUGCAUGUAUUCAACAUAAAAAUGAGUCGUUAAUCUAUGCAUGCAUGGAUCGAGAAUCAGCACAUAGAUAUCAGAAAGCUUAUGUUCAUGAAUAUAUAUAUAGAGAGAGACAAAAGGAAGCAGCUUGUAAGAAGUUUCUCACACACAAACCGUGGGCUACAAGUGCUCACAGGUGUACGUGUGAGCACGUACACCUGUAUAGGUGCGUGCUGGAAUGCACGCACGUAUAGGUGUACGUGUGCGUGUGAGAGAGAGAGAUAUAUAUAUGAACGAAUAGUAGCUUUGGGAAGAGGGCAGAGUGGGGUUGGGAGUUGCAGUCACUCACAGGCUGCUUCAUGUUCCCUGAUCCACUGCUCAAGUACGGUGAGCUCAGAGCCUACACGAAAGAAAGGAAUGGUUGAGAGUGAGAAAGAGAACCGGAGAGAAUAAUCUCUCAUGUAUACGCUGGAACACAUGGCAUUUCAAGACACCCAUAACUCAAAGAUGCUGCACACUGACAAUGCUUCUUCUGCCACCUACUUUAACUGCGUGCUCUCAAACCUCCCCCAUCCUUUGUUUCACUUUUCUAGAGAGAGAGAGAGAGAGAGAGAGAGAGAGAGAGAGAGGGUAGACCUCAAUUUGACUCUGGAGGAAUCUGAUGUAGCCGAUGGCUUCUAGCAAUACAGACGCAGUGUCAGUCUGAAAAAGGAGCUCAUGUCAGGUAUCCUUUACUUGAACACCAAAGAAAAAGAAAUGGAAAAUAUGUGUAGCUUUGCAGCUCAAAGUACUGCGAGAGCUUUCACAAACAAGAACGCUGCGCAUACGCCCCCAUAUGUAGAUUCGAAACAGGCGGUAUGAGAUAAUGGCGAUACCUUCCCGAAAGGAGAAACAAUCUGGUGAAGUGCAGUUAUUCUGUCCCCUAACUUCUCCUUCCUCACCUGAAAACGAGCAAGAAAACAUGUUUUUUACCUUAACAUUUCCAAUUAUUUCUUACAUACACAAAGAAUUAAUUGGAGAGUUUGCUUGCCCCAUGUCAGUAGAAAUGUAGUAGUACCUUGAAAGUAGAAUGAGCUGAGGAGGUUCCCUGAACCCUAGCUUUCUUGAGAACUACACCAGCUUCUGUGCUGUUGCACUUGAAAGUGGAAAAAGAAGAAACAAGAACACGUUAGAAGCAGUAUCUAUCUAUCUAUCUAUCUAUCUAUCUAUCUAUCUCUCUAUCUAUCUAUCUAUCUAUCUAUCUAUCCAUCCCAAAGAAUUCUAACACUUAACACUUAUAUUGCUGCAGGACAUUACCAUGCAAAGCAAAGAAUAACGAGUAAACGGAGAUCGAUUGCUUCUAAUUACAACCGGCAAUUAUUAUCUCGGAUGGAGCAUGAAGAAAGAGUAGCCAACAUAUCACCUCGGGUGAGUUAUCUGGUUGGUGAUGCAUUCUCUCGGACUUGUUCGAGAAGUCCAGCAUGUUCCUGCCGAAACUCGCCGCGUUGCAAGAUCCAGGAGAGGAAGAUGGGAUAAUUCGGCUCCAUGGACUUGUAGAUGCUUGGAUCUCUUCACUGCCACCGCUGUGGAGGUAACAAUUUCCGGAGAUUUCUUGCUUUAUAUCAGACAUAUGAGGCGGGGUUGUUGAUGGGUACACUAGCCGAUCUUCCCAGUUCUUCAUCUUUCCAAUCUGGGGAGGUGUCAGCCCAUACUUCUCCUCUUCUGCCCUGGAAGAUUUCCAGCAAACCAAAGUAAGCAAGAUCCAAGAGAAUUUGAGGUAAUCAGUGCUGGCAAGUGUUAGAUGUGCAUAAAAUAGUAGAAGAACUGUAAGUCAUGAGAGGGAAAGAAGACGAAUUUUUUUGAUACUCAACAAGCUCAGCUCAUCAUACAAUUCGAAAAACCCUCUUGAGACUGAAAAGCUCUCUUUGUUUUUCUCCAAAAAGAAAGGAAAUCAUACAAGUUGAAGAACUGGAAAUCAUGAGAGGGAAAGAAGACGAAUUUUUUUGAUACUCAACAAGCUCAGCUCAUCACACAAUUCGAAAAACCCUCUUGAGACUGAAAAGCUCUCUUUGUUUUUCUCCAAAAAGAAAGGAAAUCAUAUAAUUAUUAGAGAGAGAGAGAGAGAGAAAGAGAGAGAGAGAGAGAGAGAGAGAGAGAGAGAGAGAGUUUUACAGCAAUAGCUGGCUCCAUGAUUCUGGUAGGUCUUGGCUACCAUGAAAAGGGAUCAUUGGAAGUGUAGUGGAGGGUUGUGGGUACUGAGGGGAGACUGAAGGAGAUGAAGAGGAAGAAGAGGAGGGUAGAAGAGGGAAGGUUUGCUCAGGAGGUGGCCUCAUGCUGUUCAAGCUCCAACAGUUGGAGCUUCCUCCCACCAUAUGCUGCACCAGAGAGUUCUGAAACAACCCUCUAUUCAUGCCUGAAUGCUUUGGGCGCACACUUGGUUCUCUACCAGGCUCUCUCCUUCUGCAACCUCUCCUUGCAACCCCAAGUCAACCCUUGGAAGCUUUGCUUCAUUUGCUUCUAUGGAUGAGGUCUGGAGAAGAAAGCAAAGGCCCCUUAUUAGGAGGAAUCUAAUCACCUGUGUACAUGAGGGAUGGAAGAAGAAGUGUCCUGUUUUGUUUUGCUUCCUUUUUCUCAAUCCUUCUUUAGUAUUUUUGCUCACCUUUUAUUUCACCCUCCUUUCUUUUUCUUCCUUACUUUUGCUUUUAUCAUAAAGUGGGGCAAAAAUUGGUGAUGCAGAGAAUUCAGACAAAAAAAAAAAAAGUGGCUUAAGGAUGGGCCUUAGUACCUAAAUUACCAUUGGUUAGAGACACACAAGUGAAUGUUGAACCUUUGUUACUUCACUCACCUAAUGAGGUUGAGGUAUUUUUGUGUGUAGAAGAAACUCUGAUAUUAUUGUCUUUAAAGAUAUUCUUCCAUCCCAAAAGGAAAAAGAAAAUCAAAAGUAUCAACCACCAAUAGAAUAUAAAAUUUAGAGAAAACUACAUAAUAAUAAUAAUAUAUGAAAAAAAGAAUUUUGCUAAAUUAAUUAAAAAUCUAAACCCAAAUCUCAUGAAUUUUGAAAAUUUUACUCUCAGUCUCUCUAAAAUCAAAAUCCAACAUUUUGAGCCUCUGAUUUUGAAUUCUCAUCCAUAUCAUGAAGAACAUAGGAAUUGUUUGGUAGCUAGUGAAGGGUACCAACAAAAGAUGGAUCCUGUGGAUGGUAGUCCUGCUGUACUAUAGUACUUCUUUCUAGCUAUUAUUACACUAACAAAGUGACCACAUAUACAAAUAAUGAGCAACUUAUUUAUUGUUUUACUAUUAUGAGCAUCCCAAGGACCACCUUAUCCUUAGCCUGAUAAAAUUUGAGAUCAUUUUGUUAAUUUUUCUACAAAACUUUAGGAAGAAGGAGAAGAUAAUUGUAUAAAAAAUUAGGAGUGCUUUUGUAAUGAUUUAGAUUGAUCCAAAAGCACCUAUUUAUAUUAACUAAAAGAUAUAUUAUAAUUUUUUUAAAAAAUAAUAAUAAAAAAAUCUAUCAUAUCCUAAUAAAUCUUUUCAUCCUAGUCUAUUUAUUUAAUCUUAACACAUAUUACAUGGUAACUUAAAUACAUUAUAACUAUACAUAUAAUGCCAUGUAUAGUUAUAGACCAACAUGAUUGAAUAAUUGAGACCAGGGAAUAAAAAAUAACCUAAUUUUCCCAGCCAUGGUUGAAACUGCAUCAUUUUAACCAUGGUUCAGAAGUGUAUAUGCAUCCAUUAGCAGCACUAGGCAAUGAAACUAAGGAGAAGUAGAGGUAACAACUGAUGCAAUGAUGAUGAGGAGAUGUUAGCAUGUUGUUAUUGAGAUGGUUAUGGUGAUAAUGUAAGUCACUACCACAGAACAAGAACAUAUUUCUCAGCUCCUUCUCAUAAAAAGCCUUCACCUAUUUUACCUUGAUCACAUAAUCACAAGCAAGUGAAAUUUUGAAUCUAUCCCCAUUUUACUCCUCAGAAUAGAGUUUAAGCAAGCAUUGCAUUAUAAUAUUCCCAGCACCACCUGCAGUGUUGCAGUAGUCCAGCAAAUUCCCUUGAUUUGUGUAUGCUUCCUAUCAUUCCCUUGGCUGCAUAGAAUAAGUCCUUAAAUGCAGAGAGAGAGAGAGAGAGAGAGAGAGAGAGAGAGAGUAGUGGACUUUAAGGAGGAAAGACUAAUGGUUUCUAUACACAGUACCAUAUUCAGCAUCUUUGUCCUCUCCAUGAGGCACUUUUCAAUUCACAUACUCUUCCUUUUAGCUCUUACUUGGAAGCCGCACUCCUCUUGCUUGUCUUCAUCUGCUCAUGCCAAUAUUCCUUUCCUCUCUCUUGCUUUCUUCUGCUUCUUUUGGUGAGCAGCUGCAAGGGUUCCAAUCACAGAUUUUGAGCUGCAAAGUCCUUGCUGGGGAAUUGAACCUGAAAAAAAUUCCUGCAAGAUACAAGAGUUACAACCUGAAAAGUAAAAGAUAUGCCCCCAUGGGUGCUGGAAAUAAAACACUACUUUUCCUUUGGAGUUACCUACUCAUGCAUGCACAUGUUUUGCAUGUGGGGAUAUGGACCCUCUUGCAUGAUACUAGCAACAAAGGAAAAGAUAAGUUUUGAAGUUUGAUUUGACAAUCUAGCAAAGCUGGCAAUGAGUCAAUUCAGUUCAUAUUGAGUUCAAUACCACAACAACAACAACAUCAGCAUCAUGUAAGACUCUAAUUAUAUUCAUGUUGUUUACAUGGAUCUUAUAAUUUUUUUUGGCUUUUGUUGUGUGAAGAAUGGAGAACUUAAAUCUAGCUCUCCUCCUAAUUAAUUCCUAAUUUGAGUUUCUAAAUGCUGCUCAGCUCAUUAUGAAUUGAAAUGCACAUAAAAAGCUUCAAUUAUUAACCCUGAAUUGUCUACUUAAUUCUCAUAUUUAUCCUCUAAGACUUGCCUACAACAAUGUAACUCUUUAAUAAGGGAAAUACAAUAGGUUAUCACAUAACUGACCCAUUAAUAACAUCAUCAACCACUUAACAAAAUCCAAUUAUAAAAUAUCAUGUCAUUAUGAAAUUAGGACUGCUUACAUCAAUCGAAUGUAGAAUAAGUAAUUACUUAUUAUUAAUUUAAUUUAUUAUUGUGUGAUGCUCUACAGUGAAGGAUCCAAAUCUUUUUCUUUCAUCUUUUUCUUUUUUGGAGGAAGCAACACAUAUAUUUGUUUUGCUAUAAUGCUUGCACUCACUAAAUCUAAAUUAAUGCCUAUAUUUGUAUCAAGCUAACUAUAUGGUUGUGAAGGGCACAUUAAUUUAGUGAUGAAUUAUUGUGGCCUAAAUGGAAUCUUCGCUGAGGUAAUAUUCUUUUUUAUGAUGGUAAAAGAAGAUUCACCAAAAAUAUUUCUAGUCUCAAACAAAUCCCAAGAUGAUCAGCAUGACUGUAUAAUUAAUCAAGAUUAGCAUACAUGAAAUAAGAAAAUCUUGAUCUACAAUUUUUUACUAUACAUGCAUCACCUGAUUGAUCACUCUUGCAAACCAUGAUAGAAUGAGAUUAUUAUUUUAGUUCAUAUGAGUAUGUUCAAUUUGUCUUCUUCCAAGAUUGAUUUCCACCACCAAGCGGACUUGGGAGGAUGAGGAAGAUGGAGAGGAUUAAUGAAAGCUGCAAUGCUUCUCUCGAAGGAGCUCGAGAACAGUAACUCCCAUGUCGAUGCACGUGUAAACGAGCAUAAAGCGCAUGAGAAAAGCCAUGAUGAAAGGAAGAGAGGAACAAAGCAGGAAAAGGGACAAUGGCAGGGUCCCGCGUGCCUGCCUGGGUCGAAGGAAGAGGAGGAAGGAGAGAAAGGAACACUGGCGAUCGAAUGGUGGUGUCAACGCUGACCUGACCCUAUCGACACACCUCGUCACCUCUGUGUGCGUUCUUCUUCUUAUUCUGAAACGCCAACACAUGUCCUCAUGAUCACUCCAUCACCCCCGCCUUCUCUUCUUCCUCCGUCAUGCACGUAUCAUACCCGAGUCAUUUAUCACCCAUAGGUUCCUGCUGAUACCAUCCUACACUGCAACAUUAAGGAGGGAUGUUUAAUGUAUUCGAGGAGGGAGUACGAAGCAUCGCUUUUAUAUAAUCCUUUUUCCGGGUAUAAUUGCUUUAUUGAUCAUGAUGACAUGCCUUGAAAGAUGUGAUUCUGAUGCUGCUUUUUAUUAGGUUUCUACCCCCCACAAAAGCACGUCCCUUAACGACAACCUACAUGUAUUAUAUUCUAUAAACUGAAGUCUCAACACAAAUUAGAGCGAGAGAGAGAGAGAGAGAGAGAGAGAGAGGAUUGCACUGGCUGGCCGACAAGCACUUUGUUCUUUAGCACUCGAGAACUACUUGACCUUGAAGCAUCAACUAUCCCAUUAUGUAUCGUCUUUCAUCCCUUUUUCCCGGUAAUAUCUAACAUUGAAAACUGUUGUAUGCUUCUCCUUGCUAGUCUAUGGCUAUAUAUAUGUAUAAUAAUUGUGAUGAAUGUAUUCAUCAGACCUACGAGACUAACAGCAAGCAUUGGAUCAUGAGCUGACUUGCAUGCUUACAACUUUGCUUAGAACCAAUUCUGACAUGAUUGCUAAUGAUCAUGACUCGCAAGUCCUCGCUGCAAGGAUGAAAAGAAAUCAUAUCAAACUCAUCGCUCUUAUUGUGGUUGAACCUGUGAUCAUUUCGUAUCAGUCAGUAGGUGCAGAACAAAGCCAGGGUUCAGCUUCUUUCUGGUACAGGAUUCUGCAUGGAUCUUGAUGAUGUCCACAAUGGUCGUACAAACAUGAUACUGCUCCACCAAAUAUCUUCUUCUUCUUGGAUUUCUUUUUUCCUUUCCUUUUCUUCUUUUACCUGUAGACAUCAUCGCCUGCUGGGGUGAAGGAUACGCAUGCAAAGCGACUGCAGAAAGGACACGGUACUAUCGAUCAUCUGCAUAUAUGGAUGGCAGAGAGCAGAACAAAACUGCAAUAAGGGUCGAAGCUUGGCAAGGAGGAGAGGAGGAGGACAUGGUUGGCGACUUGUGUGGAGCAAGAGAAUGUAUGUUUUGCAGCAGGUUGGCUCCACCGGCCUGCCAUGUUUGCUGAAAGAGAUGCACGAGGGGCAUGUGAUGGGACACGCUGGUUUUAACAUAUUCUUGAUGGCGAAUUCCCAGGGCCACACAUUUCCAUCAAUGAUGCACACAUUCUUGGGCUGCCGAUUGCUUGCAAUUGGAUGACGAGGAGGCCAUCUUGUUUGAAGUCCAUCUGCCACAUCACAGCCACUGAUCCGUUCGGAAGGAAGACGAUGCGAAACUCGAUGAUCGGGCUCAUAUUUGCGGAUUACAAAUUAAUGCCUGUGGAACAUCCGGUGGGUACGAAUGACUGUAUCCUUCCUUUUUUAUAAACCAUGAAUGGAGAUUCUAUCUAUUUUUGGUGAACCUCUUGGAGAAUAAUAACACCUUGUUUUGUUUUCGACCAAGAGUUAGGAACCCCACCUACUGUGACUAAUCGAUCACCUUAAAAGAUUACAACCAUAGAUAAACAAACGAAUCCACCAUGCUGAAUCACCUUAAAAGAUCGAUCGAUCUUUGUAUCUGUUCCACAUAAAUGAUUACAAAGUCUCAAAUUACAUUGGAGGAUCCAACUAACCCAUCGCUAUUACACAACUCAAAUACCAUCUUCUUCCCCAAAUCAAAUUGGUACAACGCUAGUAUCGUUCAAUGUCAAAAAAUCCAAGUAUCAACUCCAAGAAAUAAAUAAAACAGAAGAUGGUAGUUUCCACCAUUGGAUAUAAGCUUAAUACAACAGAUCACUAAACUCGGAUGCAAAAUCUUCCAACUUAAUCUGCCCACAUCAAUUUCACCCAUUCAUGUAUCUACCUCUUCCUCACUACCUUCAUCACCGUCGACCUCCGUGUUAGUGGACUGUAGUUUUGCCAUAUGUUCAGCAAGUAGCUUAUCAUCUCGUUCGCUCACCUGCAAAAGCAUCCAAGAUUCAGGCAUAGCCAGAUCAUCCAAUACAAUUGCAUCAUCCACCAAAAAGGGAAUUCCAAGGCUAUUACAAGUGUUCUAAAAAUGUUCAGAAAAGACCAUUUUGUCGACAGCACUCAAAACUGUGAUGUACAGACUGCAAAAACUUGGCAAUCAACCAGACCAUUAUAUUGUUCAAAGAUUUGGACAAGAACCAGAGCAAGAAGCUCAAUUAACAAAACCGCAAUGUAACGCUUCUCCUUUGCAAAAGGGAAAGCAACAAGAAUACACCAAGAGAAGUAUAAUAUAAAAUAUAACUUACAGCUCUUGGUGCCUCCUUCAUAGUAAGUUUUCCCUUGUGUCGUUCUAUCUCUUCAGUGCAAGCCUUAAUUGCAUUAUUCAGAAUUGAUAUGCCUUGUUCCUACACAGGGCACAGACAUCGCAGUAAGAAGAAUAAAAAAUCAAGAACCAUAAUUAUACCUGUUGACUCAAAAUAUACCUGACAAAACAUAAAAUAAUCAUCACAAUCUCUAUAGCUCAAGUCUCCAAGAAUUAAAUGAAGAUUCAUGAAGAGUCAUUGUGCAUUUGUAAGAAGAUAUAAGAGAAGAAUUGAAUUAUAAACAAUGUUUAUAAUGAGUGAUCAAAUUGAUGUCUUGUUGUUAAAAAUAGUAAUGAACACUGGAAGUACAAAUAUCAACAGACUCAGCACCAAUAUUACUGAAAAAAUACGUAGGGACUAUUUGCCAGAGACCCAUCAGUCUCAAAGCCCAAAAAGAAACAGAACACUCUACACAGUCAUUUAACUUAUUUGUGAGAUUUAGCAUAGCACUUCCUCAGAAAAUCAGAUGUCUGCUUGCAAAUCGAAACAAAAAUAUUCACUCCCAUUCCAGGAAUAACUGAAGUGAGAGAUCCCGGAUUAAUGGCAGUGACCGAAGAAUAGUCAGAACUAGCAAUAACAAAUCAGUACAAGUAACAGAACCAUUCAUAUCCUCAGACACAUUUUCAUGAAGAUAUAGUUUUGUACAAGUUAAACAUGAAACAAAUAGAUAUUAUAUCUGCAUAAUCCAUUUCCUAUAGACAUCCAAUUUAAAUGGUUUUAUGCUACAUUCAAGUACAUCAUGCCAUCACGAAACCCUAAGCUCCAGUAUGGCACCAUUGGUGAUAUUCUAAUUAUGGGUAUGAAGUUAUGCCAUGACUGACAGUUUGAUACUUUUUUUUUUUACCUCUCUGUUUAUGAAAUCAUGAACAGGAGAAAUUUUCAGAAGACUUACUGAUGAAAGUUCAACGAGGUUCUAAUAUGAUAAUGACAAACACAGAACAUCACAUUUCAGAAGUUAGAAUUUCUUGUUUAUUUUGAAAAAAAAGACAAAUAUUUCACUGCAAAUUUGUAUCCUAAGGUUAAAUUAAGUAUGAAAUGAGAACCCUAAAAGAAAAAAAACAGUCAAGCAAUUGCACAAAACCACAGGGUUAAUUGGAUUAUAAGGGGCCAGCCAUUCCACAAUACCAGCUCAAUAAGUGAUGUAUGAGUUGACUCAAAACUUCAAGUGAACUAUUCAAGUCUUCAUAAAAUUUGGACGAAUUAUUGUAACAGUAUAUAGUAAAGAAUGUGGAUAGCUAAGCAAUUCAACAGCAUUCUAAAGUUUAGUUACACCAGUGUUUGGUUAGUUGAUAAAUAUUGAAAGAUGUGUACAAGUCCAAACAGCAUUCUAAUCCAUGAUUUGAGAUAGAUGACAUGUAGGGUUAUUUCAUUCACAUGGUGGUCCGUGAUCCAAUAGCUUGUUUGUCAAUUAUUACAUUAGUUGAGAUAUCUUGGUCUUGCUAGGCUAUAUAUUAUAUGCAUUUGAUUGGUCUCGUACUAUCAGUCCUCAUGCUUGUAAGAAGUUAUAAACAGGGGAAGCACCACACGUCGCAACCUAUGUUGUUUUCCACAUAUUUCGAGUACCUAAUUAUGUAACUCGUGAUAUUGUCUUUCCUAUAUGAUACUUGAAUACGAUAUUCAAUCUCAAGGAACUAGAUCAGGUACGUUUCUAUCCUGAUGGCUUGAAAGGGCUUCGCUGCUAGAGUAACUAAAAAGAUAUCUGUGCUACACAGUAUAAGUUAUGUAGAAGAUCAUUCGAGUUAGAUAAAAUGGAAUAACAAAAUCUUGUUUACCUUAUCGAGAGUCUGAGUAGUGAGAACAUAGAGUGGAGGGGCAACUAGCUUGAUCUUCACGGGACAAUCAUCAUUUCCUGCAGCUUCAGCUUUCCUCAUAGCUUCCUGUGAGGCAAUGGUUCAAAUAUAACCUACAUCAUUACAUGCUUCAUUUUAUAGCACAAAAAAUCCUCAGCAUAAUAGCAUCAAGAAUUUCAAUAAAAAAAUGUAUGCGAGAUCAAUUGAAAAAAAGAAGAAGAGAGAUUUGGCUAAAGUCAGGCAUCAGUACCUUAAUGUGAAGAACUCCAUCGAACUGGAAGCAUUUCAUCUCUAUAUCAGCACGUAUCUCCAGUGGCUGCAGUGUCAUCCUUCUCGUAAUAUUCCUGACCAAAGCAUCUUUCACCUCAGGCGUCACCGCACGUACCACCUUAGUCACCUGCGGUUAUCCUGAUCAAGAAACACAACUAUACAAGUCACAGUAACAAGUUCAACAACUACAAGACCAAGAAAAGGACCUCCUGCCCAUCUGCUCCAACUUCCUUCGCUUCUCGAGUCAGGGCAUCAAGAACUGAGUCCGGAUCCGUCACAAUUAUCUUGAGUGCCUAAGGAAAACAUUUACAAAUCGAAUCUUUAUUGGUUAAGUGGCGAAAUCAACAAAGAACGAACUGAAUUGCCUGCGUUGCUGAGUGAUACCUCGAAAGCGUGGCCGUACUUGCGAUAGAGGGGCCACCCGAUGUGGAUGUAGAGCUCCUCGAGGUCAAUGUCCAGGGUCUCCGCGACAUGGCGCAUGAUGGAGUGGACGAGCUUGCUCUUGUUGUACCGCUCCUCGCAGGCCUGAAUAUCCUCCACGGAGACGCGGCGCUUGGAGAGAUCGAUGUAUCCCUUGUCGCGGUCGACGCGGAGGACCAUGACGGGCUCCUGGCGGCCGACCUUGAUGAGGGAGGAGACAGAACGGAUGCGAAGGCGGGAGAGCUCGGAGAAGAGGAUCAUACCCUCGAUGUUGUUGUACUCCAGGAGAGAGACGUAAGCGCCCAUGUCCGCUAUGUUCUUCACCUGGAUCAUCACAGCCAUGUCCACCUCCGGGUACUUGGCCUCGUACAUCCGGCACUCAAGGUUCGGCAUCUUCGACGACUCCACGAUAGAAUCGAGAGUUAGGGUUCUUCUGAUGGGAUUAGGGUAUGAAGGAUUCGCGGAAAGCGAGAAAUGUCGCAGGCGGAGGGCAAAACGAGGGAUUAGCGUUGGAGGCGUCGGGUUUAUGGUUUGGAGAUGACGGGAAAGAGGAGGGCUACUUACAUAUUACGCUCUUAGCAUCGUAUUUGGACAUAUCUAUAAUUAUAGAAGAUAAAAUAUAUAUUAAUUUUAUUGAUAAAAGAUAUAACACGUGAGUUUUAUAUUGAUAUUUAAUUUAUACUAACAAUGUCAAUUUUAUUAAUAAAAGAUAUCACAUGUGAUAAUAAAAUUAUUAAUUUUACUAAUAAUAUGCAUAGAAUUAUCAAUUUUAUCAAUAAUAAAAUGAUCAUUUUAUGCAUUAUCAUUUUAUUAUCAAGUAAAUCCACCGUUGUUGACAUAUAUAUAUCCUCUUAUCCUUAUCCAUCAUAUAUACUAGUAUAACGUCUUCAUCAACUUCUCCUCCCCUCCUCCAUAUCGCCCCACCUCUAGGCAACCAUAUCGAAGGCCUCCAUAGUUCGUGAGAACUGCACUUGUAUGAACCUAUGACACUCAUCAUGCUACCAAGUCAUAUUAGGUAGAUAGACAUAUAUCGAUUGUCACAUCAUAGGUUAGUAUGGAUAGUAACGUAUUCUUUUCUCUCGGGCCAUAAACAUCAUUGGAAUAAAUAAGAUUAAAUAUUUUAUUUUUAUAAUUAUAAAAAUAUUAAUAUAAAUUUUGUAAGUGUAUGAACGAAAAUAGUAAGAGGAUCACAUAAUAUGUAAUUAAAUUGAAGAAGUAUGCCUCAAGAGUAAGCUGGAAGGUGUUAUAGAUCAAGCCUGAAUUCAAAUUGGACUAUAUAUAUAUAUAAUAUAUAUAAUUGUGACAAUAAAUAUAAGGGUGACUUUAUUAAAAAAUAUCCUCAUUUUGGAUAUUUGCUAAGUAGUUAUCUCAUUUGAUUUUUUUUAACCAUACCCUCUAAUAUAGAAAAUACUAAAACUAUCCAGCUUCACUAUCCUCCACCGUUGUCAUCAGCCAAUGUCCACCAAUUACCAAAUACCCUUAUUUUAGAUUUUUUAAAAUAAUUAUCUCAUUUUAUUUUUUUUAAAACCAUACCCAAUAAUCUAGAAAAUAUAAAAACUAUCCUUCUCGAUCGUUGUUCACGCGUUGUCAUCAUCCCUUUCUCGCCUAUCAUUUAAUCAUUGUCAAGGUAGACGAUGGGUGAUAAGGGGCGAUGACGAGCGGACAUCGGACGAAGAUGGGUGAGGGACAGAAGAGUUAUAAUGAAGAACAAUUUUGAUAUUUUAUAGAUUAAAUGGUAUAGUUUGAAAAAAAUUAAAAUGGAAGUAAUUAUUUAAGAAAUACCUAAAAUAAGGGUAUUUUCUAGGAAAAUCUCUAGCUAUUUAUGGAUGUCUAUUAAUUUUUUUAUAUUAUUAUAAUUUAGAUAAUCAUAUUAAUAGAAAGAUUAUCUUGGAUAUUGUUUUCAAUGUACAUGGGUAAUGGGUAAUUGAGCAAUUACCUUGAAUAUUUUUAAUUGCAAGAGUUCAAUAUGUCUUAGAUAACGUAAUAGGACUGUCAAUUGCAAGAGUUCAAUAUUUUUUGUGUUUUUACCAGUUAAUUAGUCUUUCUUUUGGGAAAAGAAAUUGCAUUGGCAUUUUAUUUUAAGUUUUUAUUAUUUCAAUUAGACAAUAAGGAUACAUGGGUCUUUUUAAAGAAGUCUUUUGAGUGUCAUAGUUCCAACUACUUUACAAAGUUUUGAUUAUAUUCAAAUUACUUGGAGGAGUUAACUAUUUUUUUUAUGUAUUAAGAUUAGAGAUCUAACUAAAGAAAUGAGUCAUUAAUGAAAUAGAAUUUAUUUUUAUGUAUAGGUCAUGUAUUACAAAGCCUUGGAUUUGAGUUUAAGUUAGUCGAGAAGUAAUAUUCUUUAUAUUUGAUUUUUAUAUAGUAAUUUUUUUUUUAUUUUCAUCAUAAAUGUAGAUAAUGAAUGUCAAAUUAUGUUAAUCUUUAUGUCAAGCUUUUACUAUGUUAUUUACUCGUUGAUCUCUUGAUUUUUUUUGGAUUUAUAAAUAUACUCUCCCUCUCUCACAUUAAUCUUAUCUUUUAUUAGGUUUUUGUGUAGGAAACUUUUAGGAAGAAUCAGAAUGAGUUUGUUUUAUUGGGAAGAAAAGGCUUCACAUUUGAUGUUCUUUUAGGCAGCUGACAAAACCAAUGAUGUUACUCUCAUGGCCUCUCCCUCGAAGAUUAAAUCGAGGUAUGCCAAAUUAUAUGUUAAGUGACAGAAAUCUAAGAGGGUGGGAUCAUGACAUGGCACUCAUGAAGAUACAUCAAUUUAUCUAAUUAGUAAUGAGAAUAAUAAUUUAUCUAAUUAGUUUAUUAUAAUCAGAGAUUAUUCCUUUGAUGCUUUUUUAAACGAUAUAGAAAGUCGUCGGAACUCGCAAAGAAGAUUAUCACAAAGUCCAUGAGCUUGCCGGAAGUCCGUCGGAGUAUCGUCGAGGGUUCAUCGGAUGUUCGUCGGAAAUACGUCGAAAGCUCACCGGAAGAAGUGAUUGACGCACUGGAACACAAAUUUAUAAUAAUUAAUUAUCGUAGUUAGAGUAUAGAUUAAGUUAGGGUUGGGAGAUAAUCCCACUAACUUAAUUAGGGAUCAAUUGAACCCUUAACAGACCUAAAUUGGGUUGAAUGUAACAACCCAUUCGGACCCAGAAUUCUUAGGAAAAAUAUUCACACCAAUAAAUAUAAGACAUGCGAUAACACGAUCACUGAUAAUAGGAAAAAAAUUCAUACUAAUAAUAUAUAUAUAUAUUAUGUUCAUACGUCAUAAUAUUUAUUUAUUUUAAAUUUAUUAUAAAAAAAUACUAUGAUAAUAAACGUCUUCAAUUAGAUAACUCUAUCGUUAUUGAUCUAAGCAUUAAAGAAACCACAUCGAGAACUCGAUUCAAUCACGACAUUUAUAUAUUUUGUACAUGCUUUUGUACAUGCGUUAUUGAUCUAAGCAUUGAAACCGUAUCGAGAACUCGAUUCGAUGACAAUAUUUAUUUAUUUUGUACAUGCAAUACAGAAUUCAUCAAUAAUUUUUCAUCAUUAACUAAGUAAAAAUAUAGGCCGUUUGUGCUUUGUCCAUAUUUUGGCGCAGUAAUAUAGUUUCUUUUUUUUGUUUCUUAAGAAAAAAUUGAAUGUUUUAUUUUAUGUUUAUAUUAGAAUUUUAAAUACAUGAUAUUUUUAAAAAAGACAAGGAUAUAUAUGCAAAAACUCCUUUCAAAUAUCACCGAGGGUCCGUUAUAGAUCAAAAAAAUCCGUUGAGACGCACAACUCGAUCACGCUCGUUUCCACCGCCUCCGGCGUCCUCGGCGUCGAUCCCAACCGACCUCGAUGGCGACAUCCGUCUCUCCUCUUCCAUUUGAAUCUGCGUCCGUCUCCUCGACCCUCCUCGGACGAUCGCGGCCAACUACCUUGUCCCCGCCGUCUCCGGCACCAAGAACCGCCUCCCUCACCUCCUACCGCCUCCAGAGUGGAGUCAACUGUGGGGAUUCGGGAUCUGUUAUCCCCGGAUCGGUAUUCAUAGCAUUUCACUACGAUCACUGCUGGCACAUGGCGGUACACUGAUCCCUCCCGACAUGGUCACUUGUGAGGGAUCUCCCCGUAGGAACUUUGUAUCCAUCCCCACCCCACCCCCCCCUCCUUUGCAUUUGGAACAGAUCGAAUCGCGUUAUACAUCUGGCAGAUCCGGCUGUGGCGGCCAUGACAGCUAGGGCUUGGCAGGGGUUUGUGAUCGUCCACCUCAUCUUCUCGACUCUUUUCACUGCGCUCUACGAGGAUAAGUCCUGGUGACGGAUUGGUUUGUAGAUCCUCUUUUAUAUUACUUCUUUUCCCGUCGUCAUGUGUGUUUCCUUCUUUUAUGCAACUUCGAAUAUGUUGUCCAGGUUUCUUCUACUUCUUUUGAAUUCUUCCUCAUUAAAGCAAUCAAACAUGUACUUUGAAUCUCGUCCCUUUUGUUAUGCAAUCAUACCAAUAGUUUCAUAAAUCUCUUGCUUCUCGAUGUGUUAUUAGUUUGACCUUAAUAUCUAUAUGCUAAAUUUUGCAAAUGAAAUAAAUGAUGUUUAUCAAGUAUUUUCUGGAGCUAGAUUUUUCUGAUAUCGGGAUGAUUACUAACAAUAUUUUAGAACAUUAGAGAAUUACCAUCAGUUAGGAUGGGUUCCUUGUAGUCGUGUAAAGUUGCAAAUUUUAGAUGAUAAAUCAAGGAAACGAAAAUUGCAUGCAAUUGAGCACAACAUCUAGAUAAUGAGAUUUUGAUCAUGCACUUUAUCAUCUAAGAGGUUGAGCUGAAUACUGUAGAAACUAUAGUUUUUAUUUUGUAUCCAUAUGUUUGUUCUUACAUGUAUGUCGUUUCUUCUUUUAAGUUUUACAUGGUUAUUGGUGGUAAUGAUUUCAGUAUUUCUGCUACAAAUAUUCUUGUUGAAAUUAGAGAGGCACUAACCUUUUCGUACUUGUACUUCUCCUUUUCAGUCUGUUAUAAUAUUAAAUUAAUUAGAUACAAUUAGGUUUCUUUCUUCACAUCAAAUUAUUUUGAAUCUUAAAGAGCAGAAACUAAUUGUAAAAGAAACCCUUAUGAGGGAGAACGAGUAGGGUAGUCAAACCUUUUUCAGCCCUUGAUCUAACUCUGUGCUUUUGGGGCUUAUAAUUCCAAUCAUAAAUCACAUUUGUUUUCUUGGCAAGAGUCAUGUUCUUCUUUCAGUCAAAGUCAUUCAGCAUCUAGAUUGCAUAUGUUCAAUCUGAUAGAGUAUAGUCAAAAUCUUUUUAAAUUAUCCAACCAUAUUUUAAUAACAUAAGAUGAUUUAGUUGAGUAUUUUAGGGGCUCAAAUGACCAUUCUUGUUAAAAUGUAUAAUUAUUUAUUGAAGUUGAAAGACAUUUAUAUGGCAUGAUGUAGUUUAUUAAAAGCAACUUUUCUUUGUGACACUCAUAACAUUGAAACUGUAUACCAAAUGGGACCACCAAUAUCUCCAUUUUGAAUGUCAGUCUGGAUUGGCUCUCUACGCUGCCCAAAACUAUCCAGUUUGGUUUGGCUUAUAUGUAAGAUGUAGGUAAUCCUUUUAAACAGUACCUCCUUGUUUUGUUGAACUUUGACCAUCAAGUCAAAAUGUGAACAGUCUAUCUUGUUUCUCCUGAUGUUAGUAAACUACACCGACUUGUUUUAGAUCAGUAAAACCAUUGGUUCUUGAGUAUGGUACUCGUCUCUAUUGGAGGGCUCACAUGGUUUGAGAUUUUCUUGGGUCAUGUGCUGUAGCAAAUUAGCCAAAAGCAUUUUUCCCUGCAUUAUGUUUAUUCUCAAAAAGCUUGUGCCACGUUUUGUAGGAUCGACCUAUUCCAAUGGUGGAUCGAAUCACCCAACUGAUAUUGAAACCCUUGGGAAAUUGUGGAACCAGUUGGACUUGGCAGAGUUAAUCAAACUUGAUUAUUUUUUAGCUGAUUCUAAUUGCUUUUGACAAAUUAUCAUUAGUAUUGAUGAGCUUUGGCUACUCUUAAUCUCUAUCAUUACUGAUUCUUUGUGGCGCAAUCAAUGUUUGACGGGUUUCUUUGCUUCUGGACUAUAGCCAACUUUUGGUCAAUCAUGGACAUUUUGAAUUGAUUUCAUGAAAUCUGAUAAGACAAUAUGAUUCUGUUGGUGCAUAUUAAUCUCAAUUUCAUCUAUCACCAUUCUUGAACUGAUCUCAAUCUCAUGAACUUUGGUCAAGUAUCAUCAUUUUCGAAUGGUUGCCUUCAUCGUUUAACCUCUAGAUGUAGCUAUUGAUGCUAACUUCUGUGUAUUUCUGUCAUGAUUUGUGUAUUUGUUUCUUAAUUUAUUAGUGUACCAUUUUUGCCUUCCGAAGAUGUAUCCAAGCUCACAUUAUCUUCUCAUUUCUUUUAUCAACUUUGAUACCUUCCAACUAGAAGUUCCAAAUGAGAGGGAAGACCUCCAUUUUCCCUAUCUACCUAUCGAUGUUUUAGAUAUCAUUUAUUAAGCUAUGUGUCCCCUCCAGCCUGUGUAAAUUCUGGCUGUUUCUCUGAAUAAGAGGCAUGUGAUGAACUUACUGGAGUGGUUCAAAAGGACACCUUUAUGAUGUUUUAAAGGGGUGAUAAUUGGAAUUUAGGUUGGUCAAAUAUAUGACCAUGGCAUAGCCAUGGAUUAUUGUAUGCACAUAUGCAUGCUAUAUCAUCAUGCCUUUGCAAAUUAAGAUGUGCCCAUGUGUCAUAGCUAAGUUGUGCAUCUACUAUGUAUUUAUGUACGCAUAUCAGAAAGAUGUCAAACUAUUUAUUCUUUUUUUCUCGUCUGGAGAUUUCAUAUAUACAUGUAUAUAUACAUGUGUUAGGGUGGACCUUGGUACAACACUAAGCUUGCUCCUUUUCAACCUUGUGGCCAAUUUUUGAGUCUCAAAAAUAGCUUCUCUAAGGUAGAGGGAAGGCUGCAUAUAUGGAGAAAUAUAUAUACAUAUGCAUGUAUAUAAUAUAGUAUAAUAUAAUAUAAGAAUACUUAAAUUUAUAAAUUUAGGCAAAUACUCCAAGCAACUCUUUGUAUAAGAUUGUGGGUAAUAUUGCUUGACCUGGUGACCUUGUUGGCGGUUGUGCUGUUGUAAUCAUAAUGUCUAUGAAGACUUAGGAAUAUCCUUUGAGCUAAAUUUCCUGUCCUCUGUUCUACCAGACUUUGAGCGUGCUAUUAUUUAGUUCAGUGGAUGAUUUGUAUACUGUAGUUAUAUUAGUCAAGUGGAUGAUCUUUUUUUUAUGGCUAUAUUUUGAAUAGAUUAAGCUGCCCAUUCUCAAUACACAGGAUAAAACUGGGAGAAAACAUGUUGUAGCACUUAUGGAAGAGAAUGUCAUUCCUUCUCUUGAUCUCCAUGCAGAUGAUAGCUGUCAGUUUGGACUCAUAUAUUCUGUUAUCGUGUUAGUUAUCAAGUCUCUGCUUAUUAAUGUUCAGAGUAUGAUACCAUGAGUAAAAUAGGAAACCUUGUUUGUAUAAUUAGAAACUCCAAUUGUGUAAGUAUUAGAAUAUUUGGGGUUUCCUUUUCUCUUCUUGAGAAUUGAAAUAACUUUUAGUUGGCUUACUUCAUGCAGCUUGGAGGCAUGUUCUUGGAAAAAAUGGCCAUCUCAAUCAAGUUGACACUGCUCUUUUGAAGUGUAAUUUUCUCUAGUACUUUGUAGAUGUAGUUAACUUUUUGGGGCAUUAGCCUAUGAUUUCCACUCUUUGAGUAGGUUAUCCCUGUCAUCUUGAUCUUUUUAUUUGUAUGCUUUUAGCUAAUAUGUUCUAUAUUGGAACUAGUGUGUUUUUCACUUCGUAUGUUUUUACACAUUCUUAAUACCUUUUUUCAUAUCUAUAUCUUCUUUUCUUUUUAGAAUUCCUCUCAUGUUUAAUGCUAAACAUAUGCAAAGUUUUUAGAACUAGGAUCUUUAUAUAGUUACAAUUAAGGAGUCAAGAAUUCAUUGCAUGUGGCAUGCAUAGUUGUUGGAAUGUCACAUGCUGCAUGUUGUUCCAUGCUGAAUCUCAGUAGAGGCUGUUUUGCUGAUGGUACUAGAUGAAAAAGGGAAGAAAACUGGAAACUAAAAAGAAUGAAUGAAGAAACAACAGUUUUUUCUUUGCUUUGGAGGAAUGCUGCAUCAUUCCCAUAAAUCUCUUGUGGCCAUCAUACAUGGCAGAUGAUUGUGAGCUUAACACUGAGGUGAGUAGUAACUGUGAAAAGAGUUAGGCCAUAAAAAGGGAAACCCAAAAGCAUACAAUCAAAAUCUGUUGUCAAUCUAGCUGUGGCUUGAUUUGGUUGAUUCUAGUCUGGUUGGUUCCGUAGCGAACAUUGAUGGAACACGUUUCAGAGAUUCUUCAACAUGAUGCAAUAUGGUGGGUUAAAUCUCAUUGAAAUGUUACAUGAUACUUUGGUGGACGUGCCUGAAGCUUUUUAUCGCUGAUUGGAACGUAGUGUUGCUCAUCUUCAAACAUUUAAAUGGUAGUUCUUCUCCAAGCAAAUAAUAUUUUACGUAUGUGAAUUUGUGGUUUCUUUGCAAUAUAUCCUCUUUUGCAUUGUGAUCUCUUAAUUUCUAGAUUGAAUGACCUGUCAAUAUGAACCUUUUGGUUGUGGUAAUACUUCUAUGCAAUUGGCUCCUAAAUAGGAGGAUGUAGCUCUGGCAACAUAUUCCACAAGAUAUAUCUUUUGGCUGGCAGGUCUUUACUAAUUAUGGGAACUGCUCUCUGAUAAUUAGAUUGCAUUACCUAUUUCCAAUCAUAAUUUAUGCAACUUAAGUCUAUUUAUGAUAUAUAUCUUCUCCAAACUUAGUGUUGGUUUAAAGUUUGGUGUCUAUAGCUUUUCUCUUUUCAUUUUGUUGCCUCUGAUUUUAUCAUUGAAGUGUCUAUGUUAGGUGAUCUGGUUUGUGUAAGUAUGUAAAAUAUUUUCUUAGGUAAAAUGAUAUCCAGUGGUCUUGGAUCUGAAGAUCUAGUAGAUUUCUAAUAUAUUGCAAAAGCACCUGAGUUAAGGUAGAUGGUGUUCAACACAAGGAAGAAAUUUCUGAGAAUCAUUAUAAUCGUAUGUUAGCAAUAGAAACAUGUAGCAUCUAUUUUGUAAUUUUAAAUUUUUAGCUGCAAAGUUAACAAGUUUAUUGUUGGACGUAGACAUAAACAAUGCAUUAUAAAUAUCACAUAUUUUAACAGUUGUGAAUAAACACAUAGCAUACAUUUUGACAAAGUUCUUAGUUGCAAAGUUAGUUUUAUUUUUGGGUGUAGACAUAAAAAAUGCAUGAUCAAUAUUGCAUCUUUUUUACAAUCAUGAAUAAGCACCGCAAGACCAGCUCUCUAGAUAUACCAUCUAUGAAAAUUCUGGAGUGGAAAAGUUGCAUUUAUAUAAUAUUGUAUACUCUUGAUCCCUUGAAUCUCUAGAAGUGCAAGGACCUGAACAGUAAUCUCCAUUAGAUCACCGUUUUUAGAUGAACAGUAUGAAGCCCUUUAGUUGUGCUACUAUAAAAAGAUAAAAUGGAAUAAAGUACUAAUUCUGGUUGGUAUUGUGAAUGAAUAAAGCUAUGAUGACAAAUGUCCAAUACACAGUCAACUUGGCUUGCUUAGUCAAGGCUGCUCGGUUUAUUCAGCCAGUUUAACCAACCAAAAUUUACUGAUGCAGAAGUUGCCAAUCUCAUGAAAAAGUGAAUUAUUGGACCUACCAGAAAAGGGAAUAAAUCUGGAUUUUGCAGGACCUUAAAAAUUCUGUUAAUGUGCUAUGGGAAUAGAUUCAAUUCUUCCUGAUGAAUUCCCACUCACAUUAUACUUAUCUGUAAGAAUAUGAAGAUUAGGACUUUGACGGUUUGUAUAUAUUCCAAUGAAUGAACAAGGUGCAUCUGAUUAUCUAAUGGCUUUUGUCGGGUAGUGGUCACUGGAGAAUGCUUUUGCAGUUUCAAGCAUCCAUGUAUGAAUAUUUUAUUGUUGAACUUAAUUGAGUAUACUUCUAUAUGCUAAUUGCAAGGAAUAUGUCCAUCAGAACACUGCUAAAUUUUUUCAAGAAGGAUAUUCUCAUAUUACUGCUCUUGGCACUUCACCAUUAUUUUGUUCCUCAUUGUUUUGCUAAUCCCACUCAACCAUUUGGAUUAUGGAGUGGCAUAAGUUUACUUCAUCAGUUUGGCAGUGGGCUUUAGAUGAGUAGUGAAGAAUUCUAUUGAAGCCAAAGAUAUCAAAGGCAACAAUGUUGAUGGAAAGCAAGUCUGUUCCAAAUUUGUGAUUGAAAGAGGAAGCAGGAAAAGAGGGACGUACAUAUUAUAAGUCGGUCGUGACUCAUUUCCACUAAUCUUUAUCCAGUCUGAUGUUGACCUAGAAUGCCAAAGUGAUUUAACUUAGCAAAAUUCCAGACAAUUCAAAGUGUAGGUUUGAAAAUAAUCUUUCAGAAUUACUGGCCUCAAAUUAGUGGUUGUUGGUCAUGUUACUUUAAUACAUAAUUGUGUUAUAGGUUUAUGCAGCCCAUUCCAAAUAAGAAACUGAUAUGAGUAAAGUUUAAUGUUUGAACCUACUUUACUCUAGUUAAGAUGUGAAUUUGAGAUUUAGUAGGAGGACAAUCAGUUUUGCUUUAGUAGUUACUUUAAUCAUAUUAGUUGUGAUUUAUUUUACCGUUGGUUUAGAAGUCUAAAUGAAGUAUCCCCCAAUCCUAUCCUUGUAUAUAUUCAGUAGCACCUUUAACAAAUCAGAAGGAUUUCUAGAAGUAUUUAGAUUAAUAUAAAAGAAAGUUCAGCCAAUAGGAGAAACAAUAAUUAUCCAGUUGUGGGAUCCUGGAUGGUCAGGACAACAUUUAAGCAUUGUAUCAAUAUCUAGCAUGUCAAUUAUCAAGCCAUACAACACUUGGAUUCAAUCAAAAAAGGUUUCUGGAUGGUUGGUUGGCUCUUGUUAGUUCUAAUUUCUUUCUUGUUUUUUGAACAUUUUGGCUUCUGUCUUCAAAGAUCUUGUCCUAAUAACAUCUCUUGUCUCUUCCAUUCUAAUUUCUUUUAUUUGUUGCACUAAUCAUUACCCACUUAAGUGACUUUUCCUGCAUAGUAACAAUCUAUAUUUGGAUUAGAUAGGUUUUGAUUUAUCAGGAAGGUUUUGUCAUAUAGAUGAAUCGGAUACAGGUUUAUGCUUUUGUAAGAAUCUCUUUGUAUUUUUGCUGAUAUAAGAAUCUUUGUUAUAGUACAAACUUUUAUCAAGUGGAAGGCCUGAAAGAUAUCGUGACAACAAAUGCCAAAUUGGAAUUCACCCAAGCAUGUUUUCUCUCAGUGUAUAUCUCUUCCUUACCGAGAUUGCUCCACCAAGAGCUUAUGAUUCGCUUACUGGAGAUUUCAGCUGCACACGUCUCACAAUCAUUUCACUAGUUGCCGCCAUUUCUGUGACAUGGACCUCAUCCGAGCAGGAGCAUAGAGAGAAAUAGAGGUAAAGACCCUCGACUUCCAUGAGCCACUGAAUCAUCCACCAUCUUCUUGGCCGCUCUCUUUUUCCAUCUCUUUGGCUAAUAAAAUAGAGACUCCUGAAAAUUCAGUGUUGGCAUCUAUUUGGCAACAAAGACAUGAACGGUUUCUAUGUUUGCAGUCCUUGAUAUCAAUGUCGGGAUUAUUAGAUGACACUGUUGGUCCUCUCCAGACAUGGCUACCAAACAGAUUUUACAUGCUAGAAAUCCUAAGACUAAGACUGAGGUUUAUGAAGGUGACUUCCAUUUAUCAUCUUGUGUUGUUCAGCUUUUACAAACUAGGUGAAGCCCUUGCCGGAGUGAUGACUGACAUCAGAGAUCGCAGCCUGCUAACAAGCGCUUCCGACUUCUUUUCAUUUUGGUGGCUUGGUUCUUCAAGGUAGAGUUGUUUUCAUAUGCUGUUAUCAAGUGUUAUAGCCUCAACUAACUAAUUGCCUAUAGUGCCUGUGCCAGGUCCAGUUUCUCUAGAUGCCACCUGUUACCUGAAAUUGAGAUGCUAGAUAUCUGAAAGCGAUAGGAUGUACUGUGAGUGAAGGUUUCAUAUUUUUCAUCCAAUACUAUCAGCUAGGAUGGUUUUGGAGUCUUCAGCUAGUGGCAGCCUAAAAGAAGAAUUCACAGGUUCGCAAUACCGAACAAAAGGUGACACACUUGACAAAAGAUUGGGGCAAGCAUGCUAAUAAUGGUAAAUGAUUUUCAAAGUAUCGUUGGCAAUCAUCGAAAGCAAAACACUUUGAGUCGAGCUGCACAAUGCAAAGCCGGAGACGAGGGGUCAUAUCCUAUUUCUCACUUUGUUGAAGCUGUUGACUCUUUCUGGUGCCAGAGUCUGACUUGCAAUCAAUGCAGCCCAUUUGAAGGAACACCAUGGAGGCCUACCACCACUUGCCUCACCCCUUAAGAGAAGCCAUGUGAUAUGAUGGUACUCCACCUCUUGAUACAACUCCACUUUGCGGUCUGCACUUGAGCCCACCACUCAAGUAACAGAGGCCAUGCACCAUUUGAAGAUGGUACAAUCACUGUUGGGUGCAACGGGGAUUACUGUAGCAUCCAUGUUGGAAUAGUGAAGGUGGGUCUCACUGAUUUGAGCUCAUUUUUAUCUCCAACGAAUCGAGAAGGUUAUCUUCCUUCUGUCUGCAGAUGGCAGUGCAUUGAGGAUAAAUUUUUAAAGGGACUUCGUAACCUGCUGUCUACACUUAUCACAGGGAUGCUCAACUAUGGGAAUACAAAUUCAUAAGUUGAAAGGCCAGAAUACUCAAGGUAAAAUUUGUUGGAGGUUUGGAGCAUAGUAUGAUUUAGAAACUAAGAUUACAUUUGGCUGGGCCUUGCAUCGAAUUCAGUACAGUGCAGAUGUUUAAUACAAGAUAGAAAAUUCGGUAACAUGACAUGAUUCUAUCUUCUACCAGAUCCCAGUUUGGGGAUAUUGGUGGUAGAAGGGGUCGCAUUGUUGCAGCAUUGCUUCCAUGCUUAUCAGCACACAAAAAGUUAUUGAUGCUACUGUUGGUGACACUACUUAAAAGAGGAGUCUCUUGGUCCACCUUAUCUCGUCAACCAUAGGAGGCCAAGAAAAUAUCCAAUCUUGGGUCCCAAAAGGGAACCCAUUGCUACUGUGGAAUGGUUUCCAAUUAGAUCAGGAACUGUAAGAAAGAGGAGGCUGAGGGAGACUUCUAAUCACUCUGUUACACAACCCACCAACAAAGGAGGUCCCCUUCCACCUACAAUUCGACAACUACGUUGGUGCUCAUUCUGUAUCAUGUAGCCCAAAUCUUUCUCUGGAUUCCACUGUGCCACCACCGGCAACUCGGUCCACGAGCACAUCGUUCAAGUGACUGCCAUCAUGUUAUCAAUCUCAAUUAUUGGAUCUGAAGUUGGCGCCGACGCAAUAGAUGCAUGUAACGGAAUCUUGAAUUCCAUGGGGCUACCAGCUUUCCUAGGCAUGUUCUUGUGAUGCCUUCUUUCCUUUGGCAAAGUAGCAUGCUUGAUACUUUGGUCUUAGACCAAUCAAAUGAACAUGAAGAUUAGAUGUGGGAAGUGAAAGCCACUCCUAGUUUCAGAUCCUCCUUAUCUCAAGAUGGUUCCAGAGUGAUGCUUAUUUAUCAAAUAAUGUUGAUCUAUAUGGAAGAAAGAAACCCCUCAACUAAUGAUUCUCUUGAGAGGCACUUGAAAUUGCUGUUAUUUGUCCAGCCAUUAAGGUAAUAAUUAUAACCUUAAGCAAGAAAACUAUGUUAACUAAGUUAUUUUUAGCUGCUACAGUAAAAGGUUACUAGAAAGAUGUGGGGUUCACAUUUUGGAUUCCUUGUUCGUAUAAUAGAGCAUGAACUAAAAAAGAAUCUGGAUAGAAAAAAGGUAUGUUAAGGAUAACUUUUUUUUGUUUAUUACAUAAUCUUAGUCCAGUUGAAAAAGUUAAUUAAUACUAAUAUAUGAGUCUUUGGAAUAGAAAAAAUGACACAUAUGGUGUCCCAUAACUUCAAAUGUCUGACAUGGUGCUCUGUUGAUUGUAAUAUACUUUUUACAAUGAUUAUUUCUUUUAGAAAAGUUUACAAUGAUGACUUCAGCUAAUAUACCAGAGCAGAACACCUGACACUAGAUUCUGAUAUGAUAUUAACCCGAUUAUAAAUUAUUGUAGGAGUUAGUAAAAUUAAAGGAUUAAUUAGUCUUAGGGUGGAGACACUAGUUCCUUCGGUUACGAUUGCUAAAAGAUGGAGAAUGAUGCGGGGCUUAUCUUGUGGGGCUAAGUGGAUCCCGGUGCAGGGAUGGUGGGGGACAAGGGUGGACCAAGGUUGAGGGGCAGAGAGCAUCAAAUGGGAACAAAAGGAGAUGAGCAUGUGUUGUGUUCUGGGGCCAAAGUUAGGGAAAAAAAAAAGUCCCAACAGGACAGAUAAAAACUGCUAUAGGAUUGUCCACUAACAAGGCUUUCGUUGUUCUGAUCUGACUAAUUUUGUUGUAGGAUUUAAGCUCAAUAUUACUGAUAUAUCUUUCAUUUUCUUUUUCUUGGUAGAAGAUGUCCCUUUAUUAUGGAGAAAUAUACAUGAUCUAGUCUGGUAGUAACAUGAUGAUUAAUGUUGGUAUUUUCUUGUUUGUUAACUUACUGGAUAGAAACACAUUAUGAAGGUUUAGAAUUGUAGAUUGGCUUAAGUGAUUGCUACUGUAGGAGUUGGAAAACAAAUGUUACUAAAUAUUUUAGCUAGAUAAUAAUGGCAAUGCAAACUGUUAACUUUUACUUGAAGCCAUCAUGUUUCUUGUUUGCCGCUGUACCUGUUUUUAGGAGCUUGACAAGCAGUUUAUCUUCAUUACCUAAUAAUGUCUCUUGUGCCUUGUUCUUCACUUUUUUUCUUAUAGCUAAUACAUUUUUGAGGAUUUGAGAUCUACCAGAAGAUCCAAGCACCCACAAAAGUUUCAGCUGUUUAUGAAGCAUGCCAUGCUGAGACAUCAACAGGGACCUGGUGAAAUGAUAUAUCAUAGCACUACAAUCUCAAGCACCCCUAGGAGAAUUUUUCACUACAAUCUCAAGCACCCACAAAAAUUUCAGCUGUUUAUGAAACAUGCCAUGCUUAGACAUCAACAGGGACCUGGUGAAAUGAUAUAUCAUAGCACUACAAUCUCAAGCACCCCUAGGAGAAUUUUUCAGUACAAUCAGCAGGUCCUCAUUCCAAUAAUGUAUCACUUUGUGGACACACACCUACUAGUUUAGCGGGUCAAUGGGAAAUAUUUAUUAGCAAAGGGGACAUUCUUAUGCUUUAAUCGAGGUUAUGUUGGUUGUAAAGCUGCUUUUUGGCGACAUAGAUUGUAAAUUAAUGCCCCUAACAAAAAAAGUUUGGAUCUAGUGGCCUACAUUAUCAUGAUUUCGAUCACUAAUUUAAACAGUAUGCAGUAGAUCCAAUAGUUCCCUUUCUUGUUGCUGCAUAUGGCUCUACUUGUGACAUUUUUUGAGUAGCUAUUGUUUCGUUCUAAAUGUUUGGGUACUUGGCAUGCAGUCUGAUUUGAUGGCAUGAUGGUAAGAGUAACGUAAAACACUAGACAUGCCAUCGGUGGAUCACACUGUUGAAAUAUGAACCAAUUUUUACCAUUGGUCAACUCUGAAUUAAGCAUUUAGUUAUGUAUAUUUACCAUACUGUCAAUGAUAUUAUUUGCUACAUUUUGACUGAAAUGUUUUGAAGAAAAGAUCAAAUGUUUGUUCACAAAAUUUUCUUGGAAAAGACAGUCCUCCUCUUCGUUUGAAUCUUUCUUCUUACUGACAUGUUAAUUCUCAUGUGAAAGGUUUAGCAGAAAAGAAAAGGAUGAGAGACAAUUUUUCUUGGUCAGAGCCUUGGUGAUGGCAAAACAACAAAUUCCCUUUUGGCUUUUCUCUGUCUAAUUUUGGGCACCAUUCCAAUAUGGUGAAAGGUAAUUCUGAAAGCUUCCGUGUGCUAUUUUUCUUCUAUUUUCUCUUUCAACUAUUAUGAAAUAAAAUUAAUCUUAAAACGAGUGAAAUAAAAAUAUUCUAUAAGGAUUAUUAAUUCUUGUCCAUUUCCUUGGUUAGCAUUGUUAGGAUAGCGUAGAGGCCUGAAAGGUGCAUGUAUUUGGUAGAGUGCUGUGUCUUUUGGCUGACAAAUUGCUUUAACAUGUCAUACAUCUAUGUCACUUUAGACGUACACAAGAAACAUGAUCUGAAUUCAACUUAACUUUAUGAAUCUUAUAUUUCAGACAAACAAACAAGUCAUCAUAACUAUAAUGGUGUCUUAUUGAAGUUCAUCGAAUUAUUUACUGCCUAAAUUGUUUGCAGCACAGAAAUAGAAAUUGUAUGCAUUUGAUGCUAACAGAUGUCAUCUAUAUUAUAUCAACUUGAUGCAGUAUCCUAGGUAGGUAUUAAAGGAGACUGCCAUAUAUAAUAUACUAAGUAUUAUAGAUCUAUCCCAUGGAAUCAACUAAGCUUAAUAAUUCAGUACACAUAUUUAAAAUCAAGUGGGCAUAGUUAAACCAAUUGCAAUCAGAACCAUGCAAUUAUGAAGAAUAUAGUUACUUACAGAUGUUUGAUCAAUUAGGCUGAUUUCUAAACCGUAGCUUUUUCCUUAUUAUCUUAAUUGAAUAGUCACACUACCACAAAAGAUAUAUGUGAGCAUUGAAUACUGACAUUAGGAUAAGAUAAAAAAUGUGUCUCUGUAUUAUUUGAAUUCCUAAGCAAUUAUCAUAAAAUUAUUCAGCCAAAAAAAAUAUAUACCCAAUUUCUAAGCAGUAGCUUUUUCCUUAUCUUCAUUGUUCAGAUAUGAAUGAGAAAAUAUAUGUGAGCAAUGAAUACUAACAUUAAGAUAAGAUAAAAAAUAUGUCUCUGUAUUAUUUGAAUUCUUAAACAAUUAUCAUAAAAAUUUUCAACCAAAAAAAAUAUACACACAAUUUCUAACCUUUUCUCUUUUGUUGUUCCCUUCAGUCCACAUGCAUUGCUACAAUUUCUAACCUUUUUCUAUGAGGAAAAAAAAAAGUAGACAGAUCUACCAAAUCUCCCCACUUUUUUUUGUUGUUGUUGUUUUUUUUGUCUUUCUUUUAAUAUCGAGUUAAUUUCCAAGUAUUUUAUUGAAGCACAACGUGCGGCUGCCCACCCGAGCGGCGCGAGUAGUUACCCACACUAGUCUACCCUUUUCAGUAAACAAAGCUAUUAAUAGGUUAUAGUAUUAAUUAUUCCAUUAAAAAAAUAUAAAGAAGAAAAGUUAAUUGAGACACCGCCGGAAACUCACAGUGUUUUGUCGGUAGAUUAAUUCAAAAAAAAAAUAAAAGCAUUAAUAAUCUCUUUCACAUGCACGAAAAUAAAAUGACAUUUAUCAUCAUUUUUUUGCCUCCAUUACAAUGACAUGAUUAGACGAUGACGUGAAGUAUUAUACUCUUCAUGUACACAUUACGACCCAAAUCGAAGUAAAAGACAUCUCGUUUCUUCUUCCUCUCCUCCGUUUCCUUACUCAGCGCUUUGGAAUAUACUCGUCUUCCUCGCUACCUCUAUCUCUUCUUCUCUUCUCUCUCUUGUGUACUCUCUCUCUCUCUCUCUCUCUCUCAAAGAUCACCACUUUUAAUGGUCGCUGGCUCUCUUUGCGGAUCACCGCCUCUCGAGCAUGAUUACAUAGGUCUCUCGGAGCUCCACUGCCCCGCCGCCGCCGCCGGCAUUGGCGGCGGCGGAGCCGAGGACGGGGCUCUCAACCUGAAGGAUACGGAGCUGAGGCUGGGCCUCCCUGGGUCGGAGCCCGCUGAACGGAAGGACGAGGUUGGCCUCACCCUGGGGCGCCUCCCUAAGGUCUUCGUCUCCGGCGCCAAGAGGGGGUUCUCUGACGCCAUCGACGGGGCGGGGAAGUGGGGCCUCGCUGCCGGAGGGGGCGGAUCCGAGGUGGAGGGCGGGAAAGGUGGCGCCUUGUUCUCGCCGAGAGGGGAGAACGGUGGCGGGGGGCUGCUGCCCGGGCACGGCAACGCCGGCAAGGAUGUGGUGGCGAAGGCGGCCGGGCAAGAGCGGAAGGCCGCCGCACAGGUUGGGAAUUCUGCUGGUAGUAGUGAUCGUGGCG
rnacentral:lncRNA from 1 species